GGACUUGAAGGAUCUUAGGAAGCAGUUAUACUCAGCAGCUGAAUAUUUUGAAUUAUCUUACAACGGACAAGAUCAUAAACAAAUAGUGGUGAACACGCUAAGAGAUUAUACAACUAAAGCUUUCAUCAACACUAUGGAUCACUUGGGCUCCAUGACUUAUUAGGUCAAUUGUCUCCUGGAUGACAAGAUUGGGGAAGCUUCCGCAAUUGAGCUUAGAUUCUCGUGUUCAACAGGUGUGCUAUAUAAUUAGGUGUGCUUAGAUUCUCCUGGAUGACAAGAAUGGGAAGGGCUUGCAUACCCUAUGAUCUACCAUGUGCGCGGUCUAAUAAAUUGCAACUUAACAAGAAAAAUUAAGUUCUUGA